GGGGUAUUAACACAGUGGUUGGUGUGGCGGCCUCUUAAGCCAGGUCGAAGUUUCGAAUCCUUCAUGCCCCA
rnacentral:tRNA from 1 species